AAACAACAUACUUCAACCAUUCCCAGGAUACUAUUUUACUGGUGAUGGCUGCAGCAGGGACAAGGAUGGUUACGACUGGCUGACUGGUAGAGUUGAUGAUGUCAUCAAUGUCAGUGGACACCGGAUUGGAACAGCAGAAGGUGAAUCUGCUCUUGUCUCGCAUUCCAAAU